rnacentral:piRNA from 1 species
UUGCAAACUAUGGUGACCUUGACAC